rfam:Oryza glumipatula chromosome 1, whole genome shotgun sequence.
AAUAAGUGCAGUUUUACAUUAUUCACGUUCAAUGUUUGACCGUUCGUUUUAUUUGAAAAAUUUUUAUGAUUAAUAUUUUUAUUGCUAUUAGAUGAUAAAACAUGAAUAGUACUCUAUGUGUGACUAAAUAUCUUUAAAUUUUUCACAAAUUUUUCAAAUAAGACAGACGGUCAAGCGUUGGGCACGGAUAUCCACGGCUACACUUAUU